CCUACGGGAGGCAGCAGUGGGGAAUAUUGGACAAUGGGGGCAACCCUGAUCCUGCCAUGCCGCGUGUGUGAAGAAGGCCCUCGGGUUGUAAAGCACUUUCAGUGAGGAAGAACGCCUGGUGGUUAAUACCCAUCAGGAAAGACAUCACUCACAGAAGAAGCACCGGCUAACUCCGUGCCAGCAGCCGCGGUAAUACGGAGGGUGCGAGCGUUAAUCGGAAUUACUGGGCGUAAAGCGCGCGUAGGUGGCUUGAUAAGCCGGUUGUGAAAGCCCCGGGCUCAACCUGGGAACGGCAUCCGGAACUGUCAAGCUAGAGUGCAGGAGAGGAAGGUAGAAUUCCCGGUGUAGCGGUGAAAUGCGUAGAGAUCGGGAGGAAUACCAGUGGCGAAGGCGGCCUUCUGGACUGACACUGACACUGAGGUGCGAAAGCGUGGGUAGCAAACAGGAUUAGAUACCCCUGUAGUC
rnacentral:rRNA from 1 species